CACGUAGUUAGCCGUGGCUUUCUAAUAGGGUACCGUCAAGGUACAGCCAGUUACUACUGUACUUGUUCUUCCCUUACAACAGAGUUUUACGAUCCGAAAACCUUCUUCACUCACGCGGCGUUGCUCCAUCAGGCUUUCGCCCAUUGUGGAAGAUUCCCUACUGCUGCCUCCCGUAGGAGUCUGGGCCGUGUCUCAGUCCCAGUGUGGCCGAUCACCCUCUCAGGUCGGCUACGCAUCGUCGCCUUGGUGAGCCAUUACCUCACCAACUAGCUAAUGCGCCGCGGGCCCAUCCUGUAGCGAUAGCAGAACCAUCUUUCAACUUUCAAACAUGUGUUUAAAAGUAUCAUUCGGUAUUAGCACCGGUUUCCCGGAGUUAUCCCCAUCUACAAGGUAGGUUGCCCACGUGUUACUCACCCGUCCGCCGCUAGCGUUACUUCGAUGCAAGCACCAAAGUAACGCCCGCUCGACUUGCAUGUAUUAGGCACGCCGCCAGCGUUCGUCCCGACGCCACGGAUCAAA
rnacentral:rRNA from 1 species